rnacentral:lncRNA from 1 species
GAAUCAUGCGUUGCGUCUACCAAUGAGAAGCAGUUGGAGUUGGCUGAGGACUUGGCAACAUCUACAUCGCCUUGAUUGGGUGUCAUGAUAGAGUCCUUCCUCACCUUCCUUCUUCGGGGCGCAUGCUUCCAGGACCUUUCCCUCGUCUUGCAAGAUGGAGUGAAGGGCUUUCACACUUGUCUGGGCUGACUCCAAGUGUGUGAUCACUCUCAGCGGGUGUCAGCACGGCUGGGAGAUUUGUGAUACCGCCUGGUUCCUAAUUACCUCCCUCUCUGCACUCACCCCUCCCAGCUCUCCCCAGACCUGCUGCCACCACCUCCAUCAUCUCCACCUGCCAGUCUGCCUGACUCCGUCUGCAGAGGAGAGACACGGCUGGAAACUGAUAGAGGAGGCUUCACAGGGCCCCACUGCCUGGUCCAUGGGCGCUGGGUUAGAGCAAGGCAGCCCUUCAUCAUUUCUAGCAAAGUCUGUUUCUUACUUGGCAGGGGGCACUGCUCCUCUCUGGGCACCUCAGAGUCUCCUGCCUGCCAGGAAAAGGAUCAGAGAAACCUUGGGUCACCUCGCUUGGCUAACGUCACCCAUCUAGACCUAAUCCAGUCCCAGGUCCUGCAAAAACAAAAGCCACUGGACCUCAAAGGGUUUCCCUUCUUUCACCCCAGAAUACCUCUCGAAAAUGAUCUUCUUGAGAAAGAUCUCUCUGUGCUGAGGUGGGCAGAUAAGUUAAAAAAUGGAAAAUGUCAUCACAUUGCUCAGUCCAGCUCCGUGUUUUAUUUUUUGGCCGCUCCACACAGCGUGUGGGAUCUUAGUUCCCCAGCCAGGGAUCAAAUCCACACCCCCUGCACUGGAAGCUUGGAGUAGUUUUAACCAUGGGACUUCCAGGAAAUCCACCCCCUCUCCAACCUAUUUUUUAAAAAUACACACCAAAAAAAGAAAAAGCUGCCAGAAUAUUAGCGAAAAGCAUUCCCUUUGGUUAUGCCUGAGGGUAGGACGACAGAGGACGUUCUAUGCUACAUGUUUCUACGAUGUUUUCAUUGAAGGAUCGCUUGUACAGUCAGGAAUAAUAGAGUAUUUGAAAAGGGGAAUGGCGAGGGGUUCUUGGGGUCCUUGAUAUCUUGAGAAGCCAGGUGGGUUGACAGUCAGGGUUCUAGAACAGUUCAUUCAAGAGUCUGAGAGACUACUUUCCCCAGGUUGGGGAAAUUUCAGCCUUUGGUCCAGGAAUGAGUCAUCCUGAAGCA